AAGCGAAAUAGUGAUAUAGAGCAAAACCCUAAAAACGGUCUCAGUUCGGAUUGAAGGCUGAAAUUCGCCUUCAUGAAGCUGGAAUUGCUAGUAAUGGCAGGUCAGCAUACUGCCGUGAAUACGUUCCCGGGCCUUGUACACACCGCCCGUCACACCAUGAGAGUUGGGAAUACCCGAAGCCUGUGAGCUAACUUUUAGAGGCAGCAGUCGAAGGUAGAAUCAAUGAUUGGGGUGAAGUCGUAACAAGGUAGC
rnacentral:rRNA from 1 species